rnacentral:lncRNA from 1 species
GCGGGGCAAUGAAUGAUAUGAUGUGCAGCAUGCGCGCGCGGCGUGCCCGCUGGCUGACGGACGGGGGACGACACGAUGCAUGCAUGCAUGCAUGCAUGUGUACGUGAUGCACGGUGCACCCACACUACGUACCCCCACCUGCGCCAAACUGCCAGGGUAUCGAUCGAGAUCGUCGGCGCAAGCACUCUCUUUCGCCUUCGUUUGCGCGCGCCUGCUUAGUUCACAUCCGUAACAAAUCUCAAUAAUUAGUUAGCGUAUUAGUGGGACGUGAAGUUUACUGGAUCGCUCAAUGACCUACGUAUUAAAACACGUUGUGUAUAUUAUUUCCCCAUGUUCUAGAAUCUACUAGGAUAGACCACACGGCAUACCAAGAGGUACGGUGAAGUUAAAAAGAUCGAACACCUGAUAGUUAACUAAACAAAAAAUUAAAAAAAAAAUGGUGGCUUUGUAACGUGGCAAUAUAGAGCAAUAACCGUACGUGUUGGUGGAUUGUUAAAAUUUACUCAAAUUCAUUCACGAACUCGGUGGAGAAAACAAUGGACAAUUUUUAUAUAUAUAUAUAUAUAUAUAUAUAUAUAUAUAUAUAUAUAUAUAUAUAUAUAUAUAUAUAUAUAUAUAUAUAUAUAUAUAUAUAUAUAUAUAUAUAUAUAUAUAUAUAUAUAUAUAUAUAUAUAUAUAUAUAUAUAUAUAUAUAUAUGGCCAUCUAUCAUUAGAAAAGACUGUUUGGCUGAUAAAUCAUGACAAAAAGUAUUAUUGACUGAUUUAUUGUGAGAGAAAAAUAUUAUUGAAUGGCUGACAAAUUCGGCUGAUAAGCUCAAGCGAACAGGCUAUAGAAUGUGACAAAACGGCACCAAAAAUCCUACUAGUACACAAUCAUCAUUCGCGUUGCAACAACGUCACCACCGUGAUUUCACUCGCUUAUAUUAGGAUGACAGGGACGGUGUGCCCGACCUCAACUGUCAUGCUAAGUGAUACGUACGUACCUACUACUACUACUACUUCUGCCACGUCAACGUCUCGCUACCAGGUACCAGCAGCUCCAUCGUCAUCAAAAACAAUACAAAAAAAUCGGUUAGAUGACCCCCCAGAGGAAAAUAGUGCAGUUUUUGUCAUGCCCCAUCGAAACAAAGGAAAACUCCAACAGAAAAAAAUAGAAAUGUGUCGUUAACCGAAACCGGCCCAUGCAAGGGGUGGCCCACAUCCUAGCUGGCGAAUCUUUUUCCUCCUCCGGUCGUCCGCAACCGGGGCCACCACACGAUCCCACCUUCCCAAGCCCCGCGC